GUGGGUGUAGCUCAGCUGGUUAGAGCGCGUGCCUGUGGAGCAUGAGGUCGGCGGUUCAAGUCCGCUCACUCACC
rnacentral:tRNA from 2 species